GUGCCCCCNUCGCACCCGGGGACAGCCCUUCGGGGAAAAACCCGUGGUUUAAAUACCGGAUACUCCGCGCACCCCCGCCAUGGGGCGCGCGGGAAAGCCCAGACGGGCGAGGGAUGGGCCCCCGGCCUGUUAGCUAGUUGGCGGGGCAACGGCCCACCAAGGCGAUGAUGGGUAGCCGGGUUGAGAGACCGACCGGCCAGAUUUGGGACUGAGACACGGCCCAGACUCCUACGGGAGGCAGCAGUGGGGAAUCUUGCACAAUGGGCGAAAGCCUGAUGCAGCGACGCCGCGUGCGGGACGAAGGCCUUCGGGUCGUAAACCGCUUUCAGCAGGGACGAGGCCGCAAGGUGACGGUACCUGCAGAAGAAGCCCCGGCUAACUACGUGCCAGCAGCCGCGGUAAUACGUAGGGGGCGAGCGUUAUCCGGAUUCAUUGGGCGUAAAGCGCGCGUAGGCGGCCUGUUAGGUCGGGAGUUAAAUCCGGGGGCUCAACCCCCGUCCGCUCCCGAUACCGGCGGGCUUGAGUNUGGUAGGGGAAGGCGGAAUUCCCAGUGUAGCGGUGGAAUGCGCAGAUAUUGGGAAGAACACCGGUGGCGAAGGCGGCCUUCUGGUCCACGACUGACGUUGAGGCUUUAAA
rnacentral:rRNA from 1 species